rnacentral:rRNA from 1 species
UACGUAUGGUGCAAGCGUUAUCCGGAAUGACUGGGUGUAAAGGGAGCGUAGACGGUUAUACAAGUCUGAUGUGAAAGCCCACGGCUCAACUGUGGGAGUGCAUUGGAAACUGUAGAACUAGAGUAUCGGAGAGGCAAGUGGAAUUCCUAGUGUAGCGGUGAAAUGCGUAGAUAUUAGGAGGAACACCAGUGGCGAAGGCGGCUUGCUGGACGAAAACUGACGUUGAGGCUCGAAAGCGUGGGGAGCAAACAGG